CAGUCCACAACCUGGAAGGAGCCCAUGUGGCUGUUGUCUAAGAGUGAAGGGCGAAGUCACAGACCCAGAGCGGCAGAAAGCAAACCUGGCACUCCUCUAGUGCAGCCUCUCACAGAGGACGAAGCUGCUGCUCAGAGAGGUGGGCGGGGAGCCUGUGUGGGAGGCCCACCACCAGCUGGAAGAGUGAAGACAAUCUGUACUUUAGCUCGGCCUCUCACAUCUCUUUCUGAAUUAUUCUGAUGAUCUCUGAGUCUCCGCACGCCAGACCUCUCCAAUCUGUGUUCCCCAGCACUACCUGCUUAAUCCCUGGAUCAGGAGCUGAUCACGGUGGGGAGCAGGAGUGGAUAUUUAAAUAGAAGUCAGACUGUGCUUCGCUGCCAACCAAAGAACCCUGUUGAUACCAAAGGCUUCGAGGAUGGUGUAGGCCCAGAUUGCCAUCACACCAAAGAGGAUGCCUACAAAAUAUUCCAGUAAGAUGGAACGGACAUAAGGAUAUUGACAUAAGGACCGUCUGUGUCGGGAGCCCAGAGGGUGGACACAGGCCCCUGGACAAGCUAGGAUGCUGGAGAGGCUGAGCCGGUGUAUCCACCCAACCCUGGACUUCCAGAACCAAGAGCCAAAGCAAACCUCUUUUCCUUAUAAUCACUCAGUCUCAGUCUGACCUCCUUCUGUGUGGAGAAACAGCAACCACCCGACAGCUCUCUGCAACAAGAGGAGAAAUCCCAAGGGACCCCAAGGUGGCAGUGACCUACUGCUACAGAGGUUCCUGGGAGCAGCAACCUUACACCUCCAAUCAGCAUGCCCACAGAGCACCUGGGAAUCGGUCCAGCAAAGCACGAAGAACGCUGUAAGUCAUUGUGUGUUUGUGUGAGGGUAUGGGGCAUGUGGCAUCAGAACUGACCACCGUGGGUCCUGAGGGGCUAUCUCAGGCCUCAGAAGGGAACGUGGGCCGGCUCACAAGCUGAAUGGCCCUUCAGAACCUUCUCUCCCACGCCAGUACCUGAGGAAGAGCCCCCACUGCUCAGACUGGAGUCUACCUGUUGGCCUCCCCCUUGGUUCCUCUGCCGUCAGCUGUACCGACAGCAGGUGGGCAGAACAGCUCCGUCACCCUGGGAGGCUCCAACCCCCAGGGCUCCUCUGCC